GCCUAACACAUGCAAGUCGAGCGGAUGAAGAGAGCUUGCUCUCUGAUUCAGCGGCGGACGGGUGAGUAAUGCCUAGGAAUCUGCCUGGUAGUGGGGGACAACGUUUCGAAAGGAACGCUAAUACCGCAUACGUCCUACGGGAGAAAGCAGGGGACCUUCGGGCCUUGCGCUAUCAGAUGAGCCUAGGUCGGAUUACUAGGUUGGAGAGGUAA
rnacentral:rRNA from 1 species